CGCGGGGUGGAGCAGUCUGGUAGCUCGUUGGGCUCAUAACCCAAAGGCCGUAGGUUCAAAUCCUGCCCCCGCUA
rnacentral:tRNA from 1 species